rnacentral:rRNA from 1 species
AACGAACGCUGGCGGCAUGCCUAACACAUGCAAGUCGAACGAGACCUUCGGGUCUAGUGGCGCAUGGGUGCGUAACGCGUGGGAACCUGCCCUUAGGUUCGGAAUAACUCCCCGAAAGGGGUGCUAAUACCGGAUAAUGUCUUCGGACCAAAGAUUUAUCGCCUUUGGAUGGGCCCGCGUUGGAUUAGCUAGUUGGUAGGGUAAAAGCCUACCAAGGCGACGAUCCAUAGCUGGUCUGAGAGGAUGAUCAGCCACACUGGGACUGAGACACGGCCCAGACUCCUACGGGAGGCAGCAGUGGUGAAUAUUGGACAAUGGGCGAAAGCCUGAUCCAGCAAUGCCGCGUGAGUGAUGAAGGCCUUAGGGUUGUAAAGCUCUUUUACCCGGGAUGAUAAUGACAGUACCGGGAGAAUAAGCUCCGGCUAACUCCGUG